CCCCUGAAUGAUGUAGGCUAUGGGGCCACAUAAGACUUUGUGCAUCCAGGGUUACAUAGCAGGACAACUUUAAACUAAAAAGCUACCAGACUGGGAUUUUAGUGUACUCCAGGAUCUAACAAAUACUACUACGAAGUGUACAGUGCAUAAUAUAGUGUUUAGUGUAUAAUCUAACCUAAGGAUUAAGUGUAGUACAUUGUGCUUUAUAGUGUCACAAGAGUUUAAUAAAGAAUUAUACCUUCAAGAACCAUCCUUUGCCAUUGAAAUAACCACACUACACAUCAUGCAAUAUACUUGCAUGUCACACAGGUAAGGUCUCUAACUUUUUCUUAGUUUAAGGCAUAUUUCCAAGUGUCGUUCCGGCUUACGACGAUUUUCGGCUUACGACGCGCCUCAAGAACGGAACCCCCGUCGUAACCCGGGGACUGCCUGUACUAAUCUUU